CCGAAGGGGCGGGGCCGCAGUCGGGAGCCUGAAGUUGGCGGGAGAGCGGGCGGGGCCUGAAGCCGACCUGGGCCGCCGGAAAGGAUGAAGUCCUGGUAGAAAGCCAGUCGCCGUUUCCCUGGAGCUACGACUCCAAGGACUCAUCCGAACUUAACCGUUGGAAUAAGCACAACUCAGAAACUUUUAGUUGAGUGUUACCUAUAAAAAGCACUCUUUUCAUAACUGUUGAACUUGGAAAAGCUUCGCCCGGGAUACUGAAGCGUAAUGCACUGCCUACUUUUCAAAAUUAUGUUAUGACUUCAGGGGAGAAGAGAUCCACAAGAACCAGUAACAGGAAAGCUUAAGCUGCUUGGAAAUCUUUAAAUAAACUUUCAAUAUGGCUUAACAUCACUUUAUUUGGGAACAAAGUCUUUCAUUCCGUCAGAGCAUCUUGGCUUAGUCUGAAUACCCCAGGAGACUUAACACAUCGAUUUACAUUUGUAGUAAGAUGGAAAUGAGCAAUUAAUGAUCCUUUUCUGUGGGAAGACUUUGGGAAAGCGUGGGUCAGGAGCCCACAACCCUUGAAAAGGUGGAUACCUUUAAGAAGAGGAGGUUGCGGCUAGACCUGGUGGCUCAUGCCUGUAAUCCCAUCAUUUUGGAAGGCCGAGGUGGGUGGAUCACAAGGUCGGGAGUUCGAGACCAGCCUCCUGGCAAACACGGUAAAUCCUCAUCUCUUUAAAAAAAAAAGAAUGUUGCAGGAAGGAAGUAGGAAUCCCUGAAAGGACAUCUUUCCUUACUCACAGGUCUUGGGAGGCCAUUCUUUCCUUAAUUUACUAUGCUGGUGAAUAUAUGAAAGUAUAUUUAUGUUCUUGAAAUUUUUAAUCUUUGUUGAUUCUUUGAAAUAAUGAAUUAAGACAUAGUUUAAAUUUUCUAAGUUAGUAGGAGUUAGCCAGUUAAGGAGGAGGGGGAGGCAGCAUAUUCCAGGUAGAAGCAGCAGUACAUGUGAAGGCGAGAGGCAAGAGAUGAUAUGGCCCAUUUUAUUACUAUGUUCCAGAAUAAUCCACUGAAAUACGAAUUUGUGUUGUGUUUGCACAGCUUAGGCAUGUAAGAAAUAUAAGAGCUAUUUUUUUCUCUCUCUCAUACGCCUUUGUCUCAGUUGAGCUCUGGAGUGAAUGAAAAUCUGGGAUUUGUCUUACAGAGUUAAGAAAAGUUCGUAAAAGAACACAGUCCAGCGGAGGGAGUGGGCUUUGGGACUCUAACAUCAGGAACCAGACAUGACAAAAACUGAAAGAGACUCCAGACCUUGAAGGGAUGGUGAUUAGAGAUUCUGGAAGCAGCAAAUUUGUACUCUCUCUCUUCAUGGCAUCGCAGGGAGGUAUCAGGGGCUCCAACAAGAAUGACUGGACCCAAUUACCAAAGCUGCCACCAUUCAAAAGGAUGUCAGUGCAUGUUACCAGCACAGGGGAAGCAAAUUUACCUCUACCUAUCUUGGGGUUUUUUGGUGUGUGUUUGUUGUUGGUGAUGGUGGUUUUUUAGACAGAGUCUCUCUCUUUGUCACUCAGGCUGGAGUGCAGUGGUGCAAUCUUGGCUCACUACAACCCCUGCCUCCUAGGUUCAAGCAAUUCUCUUAUCUCAGCCUGCCCGAGUAGCUGGGACUACAGGUGCACAUCACCAUGCCUGGCUAAUUUUUGUUUUUGGUUUUUUGGUUUUUUUUUUAGUAGAGACUGGGUUUCAACAUAUUGGUCAAGCUGGUCUUGAACUCCUUACCCUUGGUGAUCCACCUGCCUUGGCCUCCCAAAGUGCUGGGAUUACAGGUGUGAGCCACCGUGCCCUGCCACCCAUCUUGGGUUUCUAGCUGGGAUUUAUGAACAAAAAAGACAGAUUAAGAAGAGAAAAACAGUUUACUAUAAUGCAUGCAAUGCACAUCAUACAGGAGAAACCUCAACUGAGUAACUCAAAUCAGUGGCUCAGAACUCUGGCUUAUGUAGCAUCUUCAAACAAAGACCAACAAAUUUGUCAAGAAAUGACAGGACAAAGAAAAGUAGUUUUAGUCUUCCAAGGGUGGCUUGUAGGAAGGUAAAAAUAUGUGAGGAAAUGAAUGGAGUAAGAUUUGUUUGCAGCUUUCUCUGGUGUUAUCUCUAGGCUGAUAAGUGUCUAGUGUUCUCUCUAGUAAAGGAGAAUUUAUAUCCUGCCUUUAGGCAAGAAAGGGGGAGGGCAGAGAGAGCUUUUCCUGCAUUUGCUGCUGCUUAAUUGCCUUCAGCUCAAAAUAAUUUUUAUGUAAAUUAGGCAUAUUUUGGGGUGACAUAUUCUGGUUUCCUUCACCAGCAAAGCCUCCUUCCAAAGGAAAUUAAGACUUGGAAAAUAAACUAUUCCCUGUGUGGGCCAAAGAUAAGACCCAAUGAAUCUGAGAAAGACGGAGAUGAGAUUGGAAGGGAGAUAUAUAUUUUGUUUUUCUUACAAGUGUGCAAUUGCUGUAAAUACUCAAGCCUUCAUCCAUUUGUGUUGGCUAUAAAAGAAUACCUGAGGCUGGUACUUUAUAAAGAAAAGAGGUUUAUUUGGCUCAUGGUUCUUCAGGCUGUACAAAAAGCAUGGCACCAGCAUCUGCUUUUGGCUGCUUCUGCUUAUGGUGUGUAGAGAUCAUCUGUCAAGAGAGAAAGUGAGAUAGAGAAGAGGAGGUGCCAGGCUCUUUUCAACAAUCAGUUAUUGCGGGAAUUGAGAAUGAGAACUCACUCAAGAAUAGCACCAAGCGAGUCAUGAGAGAUCUGUGCCCAUGAUCCAGAUACUUUCUGUCAGGCCCUAGCUGCAACAUUGGGGAUCAAAUUUCAACAUGAGACUUUCAACAAACUUUAUCUAUUCUAUAACAUUCCUCCCCUGGGCCCCCAAAUCUUAUGUCCUUCUCACAUUGCAAUCAUUCUGUCCCAAUGGUUCCCACAAGUGUUAACAUGUUCCAGCACCAACCCAAAAGGCCAAAAUCUCUUCUGAAACUCAAAGGAAGCUGUGAGUCUAUAAAAUUAAAAUCAAGUUACUUACUCUCAAGAUACAAUAAUACAACAGACAUUAUGUAAACAUUCUCUUUCCAAAAGGAAUAAUUCAAACAAAAGAAAGGGGUAACAAGCCCCUUUCAGGUGAGUCUGAAACCCAGCAGGGCAGACAUUAAAUUUUAAAGACUCAAAACAAUUGCCUUUGACUUUGUGUCCCAAUAGCCACACUGGUUCAGUGGGUGGGCUUCCAAGGCCUUGGAGUUCCAAACUUUUAUCUUCCUGUUUUCUGAGCCCUCCGACCUUUUCCACCCUGUGCUCAUUACCCAGUUCCAAAGCCACUUCCACAUUUUCAGGUAUGUUUAUAGAAAAACCCUACUCCUGGUACCAAAUUUAUAUCUCAGUAUGUUUGUCUUGCUGUAAAGGAAUAUCUAAGGCUGGCACAUUAUAAAUAAAAAUGUUUAUUUGGCUUGUGAUUUUUAGACUGUACAAAAAGUGUGAUUCCAGUAUCUGUUUCUGUUGUGGGCUUCAGGCUGUUCCUGAAGAUUGUAUGGCAAGAAAGGAAAUGAGAGAUAGGAGGAGGUACCAGGCUCUUUUCAACAUCUUAUUUUUUAUUUUUUGAGACGGAGUUUCGCUGUUGUUACUCGAACUGGAGUGCAAUGGCACAAUCUCGGCCCACCACAACCUCCACCUUCUGGGUUCAAGCAAUUCUCCUGCCUCAGCCUCCCAAGUAGCUGGGACUACAGGCACACACCACCAUGCCCAGCUAAUUUUUUUAUUUUUAGUAGAGACGGGGUUUCACCUUGUUGACCAGGAUGGUCUCGAUCUCUUGAUCUCAUGAUCCACCCGCCUCGGCCUCCCAAAGUGCUGGGAUUAUAGUUGUGAGCCACCAUGCCCAGCUUUUCAACAUCUUAUUAAGGGAUCUGUCCCUACAAUCCAAAUACUUCCUAUCAUGCCCCAGCUCCAGCACUAGGGAUCAAAUUUUAACAUGAGACUUGGCAGAGCCAAGCAAAGCGUAUCCAGACCAUAGCAGCUCACUUGGUAGAUGUCAGUUGCUUAGCUUACACUCAGAUGUCCUAGGACUCUAAGGUCUGAUCCAGGCCUUUAGAAUGUGAAUGGCUCAUACUUACUCUCAUCUCCAGAGUUUGUGGGAUUUCUGAAAGUUUCAGGAUUAUUAUCUUCUACAUAUGCAUACAUUUAGAAUUAGAAGCAUAGGCCAGUUGUGAUGGCUUAUAUCUUUAAUCCCAGCACUUUAGGAGGCUGAGGUGGUAGGGUCACUUGAACCCAGGAGUUUGAGAACAGUCUGGGUGAUAUGGUUCGGCUCUGUGUCCCCACCCAAAUCUCAUCUUUGGGCUGGGCAUGGUGGCUCACACCUAUAAUCUCAGCACUUUGGUAGGCCAAGGCAAGUGAAUGACAAGGUCAGGAGUUGGAGACCAAAUCUCAUCUCUAACUGUAAUCCCCAUAUGUUGGGGGAGGGGCAUGGUGGGAGGUAUUUGAAUCUUAGGGGUGAGCUUUCCCCUUGCUCUUCUCAUGAUAGUGAGUUGUCAUGAUAUCUGGCUGUUUGUAAGUGUGUGGCACUUCCCCAUUUAUUCUCGCUCUCUCUCCUCCUCCACCAUGGGAAGAUGUGCCUCGCUUUUCUUUCGCUUUCCACCAUGAUCGUAAGUUUCCUGAAACCUCCCCGUUAUGCUUCCUGUUAAGCUUGCAGAACUGUGAGUCAGUUAAACCUCUUUUCUUCAUAAAUUAUCUAGUCUCAAGUAGUUCUUUAUAACUGUGUGAAAAUGAACUAAAACACUGGACAAGAACUAUGUUUAGCAAGAACUUGUCUUUAUUAAAAAAUGAGCUAGACAUGGUGGUGCAUGACUGUAGUCCCAGCUACUCAGACUGAGUCAGGAGGAUCCCCUGAGCUCAGGAGUUUGAGACUCCAAUGAGCUAUGAUCACAUCGCUGCACUUCAGUCUGGGCAAAAGAGCAAGAUCCUACCUCAAAAAAAAAAAAAAAAAAAAGGAGAAUAUCUAACCAGUAGACCCUGACCCAGUGACGGAUAAACAAAUGUACUCAGACACAGAUAUCCAGUGAAAGAACAGGCUUCCUCACGGGCCACUCACAGCCCCGAGAAGGGUGCUGUAAGAGUCAGCAGCCACAGCCCUUACCAGCUGGUGCUACAGGCAUUUAUUCCAUAUAGAUGUAAUGACAGAGACUUUGAGUCAACACACUUGUGGAAUGAUUAAAGGCCACGUUUUGAGGCUUAAAGCAAACAUCAUUUGUGGGUAAUAACACUGUUGACCUCUUCAAGUAGAGAGUAGUCAUGUGCCCAUGGAUUUUCAAAGGUCAGACUUAGGACUACUUGAGUAAACCAGCUCUUUAGAUAAACUUCUUUACAUUUCUUUGUACUUACUUCUGCCUAAUUGCCUCUGGGUAAGAACUGCCACCCUCAGCUUAUUCCUUGCUGGGGGUCUUGCGAAAACCUCCCGGCCUUCCUAUUUUUCUAUAAUUUUUCUCUUGUAAUUUCUCCCACCACCCUGACUGAACCCCUACAGGAGAAGAAAAGAAACAUAAUUAGAAAAACUCAUGCUCACAAUGAUUUGAUAAGUUCCAUAUUUUUAAUAGUCACAGGUAACAGACUCAUGUAAAGAUAAGCUAUACAAACGUAAAACCUGAUGGAGUUCAGGAAAUACUACCCCUAAACAUGACACCUUAGCAUUUGAGAAAUAAGCAGAAGGAAAAAUCACCUUUACCUUCUGCUUACCCUUCUCUGCUGAAGCAGACCCUGAGAAAGUCACUCUCUUGACCUUCUUUAACUCUUCUCCCCUGAAGCGGUUCCUAAGACCCUCAUUUAUGAGGUACCCUUUCUAUACUUUGAGCAAAGGAACAUAUUUACCUCUGAAGACACAGACAUACAGAAAAGAAUCUGCCCAAACAGUCCUAAGUUCUCACCAGUUUAUUACCAUUAGAUCAUACCCUUUUUUUUUUUUUUUUUUUUUUUUUUGACGGAGUUUCGCUCUUGUUACCCAGGCUGGAGUGCAAUGGCACAAUCUUGGCUCACCGCAACCUCCGCCUCCUGGGUUCAGGCAAUUCUCCUGCCUCAGCCUCCCGAGUAGCUGGGAUUACAGGCGUGCGCCACCAUGCCCAGCUAAUUUUUGUAUUUUUAGUAGAGACAGGGUUUCACCAUGUUGACCAGGAUGGUCUCGAUCUCUUGACCUCAUGAUCCACCCGCCUCGGCCUCCCAAAGUGCUGGGAUUACAGGCUUGAGCCACCGCGCCCGGCCAGAUCAUACCCUUUUUUAUUCCAAUAAUAUUUGCCUAUGACUGUACACUCAUCAUUAAACCUAAGUAUAAAAAUACACACAUUUACCUGUUUCUUUGGGUCUUCAUUUCCUUAUAAAGUUUCCUGUGUCACAUCAUUUGUGUGUUUUUCUCUUGUUAAUGUGUCUUAUGUUAUAGGACCCUCAGUCAGGAACCUAGCAAUGGAUGAGGAAAAGAAAUCUUUUCUCCCCCUAAACGUUUACCAUGUAAAAUAAAAACAGGAGGUAACAUUCACAUGCAGAGCACAAGCUCUUUUCCAAGUACUAUCCUGAGUGAUUUAGCUAAAGUUUCAUGAUCUUUUUAACAACCCUAUAGGUAGAUACUAUUUUUAUAACAAGUACAACUGUUGGCAAGAGAAGGAUAGUGGAUGAAGAAAUGCAAACACUAAGUAGGUAACAUUUUCCAUCAGAAGAGAAAAUGACACUGAUCACUGAUGAAGUAAGCUAAAGGUAAUGCCUAGACCGAAAUCAAAUGCUAUCAUAAGAGAAGAGAAAAAGCUAUUAUUUGUACCACAGUUAAAACUAGCCACAGAACAACUUUUUGCCAGCUAGAGAACAUAUGAAAUGGACUUAUUUUUGCCUCGUACCUUUCUGGGAGUCAGUUGCUUUUUGUGUAUAAGGCUUUUUUGGCAUUAUCUCUCUUGGUCUCUCAUGGAACAAUUAGGGAUUACUGACAGAUGACUUUCAGCACUAUUGUCAGGUGGCUGUACCAGCCUGAAUCCAGCCAUCAUUUCCAGAGCAUGUAGGGGCCUCCCAUUGAUUAUAACAAGCCAAAAACACUCUGUAGUUGGAAAUUCUAGGUACUGUUCUUCAAUAGAAUCUACUAUCUAAUUUAUUUUACAGCAAAAUUAUCACAAAAAGCAUUCAGUAAAUUAACUGGUUUGAUUGCCAGUAGAUACUACUGUUAUUGUAUUUUUCCCACCAGGGCACC